rnacentral:rRNA from 1 species
GUGUCAGCCGCCGCGGUAAUACGUAGGGGGCAAGCGUUGUUCGGAAUUACUGGGCGUAAAGGGCGCGUAGGCGGCACGGCAAGUCGGGAGUGAAAGCCCGGGGCUCAACCCCGGAGGGUCUUCCGAAACUGCCGGGCUAGAGUGCGGAAGAGGCAACCGGAAUUCCCAGUGUAGCGGUGAAAUGCGUAGAUAUUGGGAAGAACACCGGAGGCGAAGGCGGGUUGCUGGGCCGACACUGACGCUGAGGCGCGAAAGCCAGGGGAGCAAACGGGAUUAGAAACCCUCGUAGUCC